UACGUAGGGUGCAAGCGUUGUCCGGAAUUAUUGGGCGUAAAGAGCUCGUAGGCGGCUUGUCGCGUCGGCUGUGAAAACCCGGAGCUCAACUCCGGGCCUGCAGUCGAUACGGGCGGACUAGAGUUCGGCAGGGGAGACUGGAAUUCCUGGUGUAGCGGUGAAAUGCGCAGAUAUCAGGAGGAACACCAAUGGCGAAGGCAGCUCGCUGGGACGGUACUGACGCUGAGACGCGAAAGCGUGGGGAGCAAACAGG
rnacentral:rRNA from 1 species